UCCACAGCACUUUCUGCCCAGAUGCUCUGAAAUGUUUUAUGAACUUCGGGAAAUCACAACUAGAUAAGGUAAUCUGGAAAACAGUCUUUCCAGUGGUAAUCAGCAGUUCUACUUCUCUUCUUGGUUGUGAUAGAUGUGAAGCAAGAUGACAGCAGUGAGCUGAGUGAGGAAAGCCCAGACCUGCUAAAGAAGAGGUGUUGCAGGAGACUCUGCUCCCAAAAUGUUGUUCAAUGGUUCGCAUGGCAUGACUGCAGGA